UGGGGAAUCUUGCACAAUGGGCGAAAGCCUGAUGCAGCGACGCCGCGUGAGCGAUGAAGGCCUUCGGGUUGUAAAGCUCUGUGGGGAGGGACGAAUAUAGGUUGGCUAAUAUCCAACCUGAUGACGGUACCUCCUUAGCAAGCACCGGCUAACUCUGUGCCAGCAGCCGCGGUAAGACAGAGGGUGCAAACGUUGUUCGGAAUUACUGGGCGUAAAGCGCGUGUAGGCGGCUACAUAAGUCGGACGUGAAAUCCCAUGGCUCAACCGUGGAAGUGCGCUCGAAAACUGUGUAGCUUUGAGUCCUGGAGAGGAAGGCGGAAUACUUGGUGUAGAGGUGAAAUUCGUAGAUAUCAGGUAGAACACCAGUGGCGAAGGCGGCUUUCUGGACAGUGACUGACGCUGAGACGCGAAAGCGUGGGGAGCAAACAGGAUUAGAUACCCUGGUAGUCCACGCCGUAAACUAUGAGUGCUAGGUGUCAGGGGU
rnacentral:rRNA from 1 species